CCUCGUAGGGCGUAGGAUUGGCAGGGCCACCGACGCCUUUUUCCUCCGCGUAGGGCAGCUACCCCGCAGAAGAGGAACAGGAAGAGGAGGAGGAGGAGGAGCAGCAGCAGCAGCAGCAGCAGCAGCAGCAGCAGAGGGACGAGGGAGUCCAUGAACCUUCCCCGACCAGGCUGCUGUCACGCCGAUCCAUCCACCCACUGCUCUGCUGCUUCCUCUUCAACCCUCGUCGCCGUUGUUCUCUCGUCCUUCUAGUCAGCGCGCUUUUUCCUCUUCCUCCAUGCUCCACCACCACCUCGGGAACAACGCCGAUCCCGAAACCCUACGAACCGAAUGCGUAAUGAAUGCGCUCUACCAACAGGCCAAAGUGACGUAGAGCCAUUCAUCAUUCAGGUUUUGUCUAAUAAUCUACGUGAUAUUUAUUUGUAGUAUCGAAUACUAUCGAUCUCUAGUUCUAUCAUACUACGAUACAAUCACAUCCAAAGAGUUUCAAGUGCACGAGAAUCUUGUAUUCGUACCAAAGCAGGUGUUUUGUGUAUUUUGCACAUAACCCUGAUAAAAACGUUCAAGUUGUAGAGUUUUAUGUAUCGAAACACAACGAAAUAAUCCAGAGAAUGUCGUAUCACUCGAUCUACACUUUCAUAUCCCCAAACGUCAUUCGAAUCUAGAUGGUUUCUGACGUGGAAUCAUGGAGGCGCGUCAGAGAUGUGGUCGAAAAGAAUCGAGGGUGGGUGGCGGCUGCGGAGGUAGAGGGUAGACUGGUGUUCUCUCCUGGUCCAGAAAGCUGGAGAAGAAAGAGGAGGAGGAGAAUGGUCGUUGAACCUCUCAGGCUCCGGCUCCGGGACGUCCUGGAAUAAGCUCGAUGGCCGCGGCGGUCCACAAAAAUUGUCGUCGUUUUUGUCCCCCCAUCCCGACACCCGUCAUCUUUUUCGAUUCGUUUUCUCGCGAAUUCGGGGGAAACGCUUUCACUAUCGUCUCGAUCUCGAUUAUUCGGCCAAUGAGAGAAUUCCGCGGUUAUUUUGGGAUAAUCGCCGCGACGGCGACGCUUCCGCGAGAAUCUGCAUCCGACCGCGACUAGUCGUUGAACCUCGCGAAUAUCCGGACGUUCCUGGCGUCCAGGCAUCCGAGACACCGGAACAACUUGGUCGUUAUUUAAUAUUUAAUAUUACACAAAUAUCAGAUCCCUUCCAGCAGCUAUACUUGGCAACUUUUUUUACAAAACCACAUCGUAAUAGAGUAACGGACCUCGAAUACAUUUACAUAAAGAAAAUGACGAAAUCUACUACCACCUACUACCAUCUAUAGAAAUAGUAACGUUAAUACAGCGAUUCUUCCGGCCUUUGGGCAACGCUGCGAUGAUUUUUCAACAACCCAAGCUAGGUGUACGGUUUUACCGCUGCCAAGUGCUCGGCGAAGCCGAAAUAUUCUCGGAUCGAUGAGUUCGCGUGUCUUUUUAAGCGCGGCCGCGUACCAAUGCGGAAUCGAUACAGACAUGCGCCAGAUUCUCGCGAAUAUAACGGAUGACCCCAUAAACUGGAGAAAUUGGUUUAGGUCGCGCCGACGCGACGUCGCCGAUCAUCGAUUCCUCAUUUAUUUAAUUAGCUAAUUAACUCAUUAGCUCGCACGACUGAAAGGGAAACCCUUUCGUGUAACUCACGCGUUGAUAUUUCGCGUUUGGUUAGAAAAUGUUUGUUUCUCAAACAUAUUAUUCGGGGCUAUAGUUAGUUGGUUACAGAAGAUACCAGGUAAUUAGUUGCAACGACAGAAAUGUCAAUCGCGGUCUAGGUUGGUUCCCAUGAGUUAGGUUUGCACGUGGCGGCUAUAAGAGCAGUAAACGUGUUCAUGCGGAUACCAAACGGGAGAAUUUUGACUGUUACGCGGGACAUUUUUAGGGAAACUCGUUGUGAGAGUCCUGGUUCCACGUUUGGUAUUCUGGGUGUUGUAGUGAUCGUGAUGUAAAACUUUCAGGUCUUUCGCUAUUCGGCUGUUUGAUUCUUUUAACGAAUAGAUGAAUAAUUAAACAGAUUCGUUAAUUCGCGAAUCCGCUCAAUUGGACAACUGAUUCAAUUGGGCUCCUGGAGGGGUCAGACGAACAUCGGCAGUGCCGUAUCAUUGGAAAGUUCUAAUUACAAUUUGAGGAAGAAGCAAAGAAAGAACUUGUUUUUCCUAAGAUAUUUGGCAGACCUAGCCCAAACCUAACGUUCGUUCUAGCUUGCUAUUCGUGAUGUCCUUUUGAACCGUAUGCAAUCCACACCCCUUGGUGAUCAAAUCUGAAAAUGGAGGUCCUGUUUGUCUAAAUGAUUUUUCGUUAGGACAGUGCGCCGCGGCGUUUGAUCCUUUGUCGGUCACUGACACCAGAAAUGGUUUGUAGCGGUGGCCGUCGAUUCGACACACGGACACGUGUGUGUACGUACGCGGACGCACCACCUCUGUACCUAUGCGGUUUCGACGGGCACCGUGUCUCGCGUAAUCGGAAUUUCAUGGUUCGUUUGAUAGUCCGUGCGCACAAGGACCCUGUACAGUCUGUAAACGACACGACGCGACGCCGACGCCUCGCGACAUACGUCUUUCUACUCGCGCGAAAUCGCACAUCACGACCCAAAUUUCACGCUCACGCAACACUUGACGCACGCGAACCGACUAUCGUCCACUUCUAUCCCCCUUAAAUAUA